rnacentral:rRNA from 1 species
GCCAUAUGCUUGUCUCAAAGAUUAAGCCAUGCAUGUCUAAGCACAAGCCGAUUAAUGGUGAAGCCGCGAAUGGCUCAUUACAACAGCCAUAGUUUCUUAGAUCUUACUUUUCUACUUGGAUAACUGUGGUAAUUCUAGAGCUAAUACACGCAAACAAGCUCAGACCUUACGGAAUGAGCGCAUUUAUUAGAACAAAAACCAAUCGGACCUCGGUCCGUUAUUUGGUGAAUCUGAAUAACUUUGCUGAUCGCACGGUCAUCGUACCGGCGACAUAUCUUUCAAAUGUCUGCCUUAUCAACUUUCGAUGGUAGUUUAUGCGCCUACCAUGGUUGUAACGGGUAACGGAGAAUAAGGGUUCGACUCCGGAGAGGGAGCCUGAGAAACGGCUACCACAUCCAAGGAAGGCAGCAGGCACGCAAAUUACCCACUCCCGUCACGGGGAGGUAGUGACGAAAAAUAACGAGACGGCUCGCUAUGCGGUCCGUCAUCGGAAUGGGUACAAUUUAAAUCCUUUAACGAGGAUCUAUUGGAGGGCAAGUCUGGUGCCAGCAGCCGCGGUAAUUCCAGCUCCAAUAGCAUAUAUUAAAGUUGUUGCGGUUAAAACGCCCGUAGUUGGAUCAGCGGAUUUGGAGAACGGUCACCCGAUGGGCUGUACUGUUCUCCUGUCCUAAUUUCUCUAGUUCGCUCUAGGUGCUCUUCACUGAGUGUCUAGAGUGGCUGGAACUUUUACUUUGAAAAAAUUAGAGUGCUCAAAGCAGGCGUCUCAGCCUGAAUAGUGGUGCAUGGAAUAAUGGAAUAGGACCUCAGUUCUAUUUUGUUGGUUUUCGGAGCAUGAGGUAAUGAUUAAGAGGGACAGACGGGCAUUCGUAUUGCGACGUUAGAGGUGAAAUUCUUGGAUCGUCGCAAGACGAACUACUGCGAAAGCAUUUGCCAAGAAUGUUUUCAUUAAUCAAGGACGAUAGUUAGAGGUUCGAAGGCGAUCAGAUACCGCCCUAGUUCUAACCGUAAACGAUGUCAACCAGCGAUCCGCAGGAGUUAUUCAUGACUCUGCGGGCAGCUUCCGGGAAACCAAAGUUUUUGGAUUCCGGGGGGAGUAUGGUUGCAAAGCUGAAACUUAAAGGAAUUGACGGAAGGGCACCACCAGGAGUGGAGCCUGCGGCUUAAUUUGACCCAACGCGGGGAAACUCACCCGGCCCGGACACCGUAAGGAUUGACAGAUUGAGAGCUCUUUCUUGAUUCGGUGGGUGGUGGUGCAUGGCUGUUCUUAGUUGGUGGAGCGAUUUGUCUGGUUAAUUCCGAUAACGAACGAGACUCUAGCCUACUAAAUAGAAGGCAAAUUAUUCGUUUGCUGUACUUCUUAGAGGGACUAGGGGCGUCUAGCCUCACGAGAUUGAGCAAUAACAGGUCUGUGAUGCCCUUAGAUGUCCGGGGCCGCACGCGCGCUACACUGAAGGAUUCAGCAAGUGUUAACCCUGGUCUGAGAAGAUCGGGUAACCUAAUGAAACUCCUUCGUGAUUGGGAUAGGGACUUGUAAUUAUUUCCCUUGAACGAGGAAUUCCUAGUAAGUGCGGGUCAUCAUCUCGCGUUGAUUACGUCCCUGCCCUUUGUACACACCGCCCGUCGCUACUAUCGAGUGAUGAGUUAUCCAGAUUCUCGGACUGGCUCCUUGGCGGCUUCACGGCUGCCAUCGUGGUUUGGAAAGAGACUCUAGAUCACUUAUCGCAAGAAAGUAAAAGUCGUAACAAGGUA